rnacentral:lncRNA from 1 species
UUAAGAGUAGGAAUUUUAUUUGGAAUUGAGAGUGAAGCCCAGGAUGGAAUUUUGAGGUUGAGAGUUGAGAGACAGGGCCGAAGCCUAUAAAACGCUGAUUCAGCCGAACAUGUUGAGCCUCUGUGCCGCAUCACUCCCUCCCUACCUGCUCCUUCUAUAAAUUCAGCAUCCGGCGGAGCUUCAUAACUGAUAACUCGCAAUCAUUCACCUCUCUCUCUCUCUCUCUCUCUCUACGCAUCCAUAUAUCGAUCGGCUUUUACUUGUUUAUCUCUCCUCUCUCUCUCUCUCUCUCUUUGGAUCUGAACAUGGUCGAAACCAGAAGAAGCUCCUCGUCUUCCAAGCGCCCUCACUCUUCCCCAUCCUCUCCUCUCCCUAAUGGCAAGCGCUCCAAGGUUUGCCCUCUCCAAUUCCCAUUUCAUCAUCAUCAUCAUCACAUCUCUUGAUACUACAUGUUAGCAUGUAGCUCCAUAGACGAAAAAUUAGUUUCUUUCUUUCUAUCUUUCUUGUGUUUAAUUUAUUUGAUCGGGUUUAUAGGCGGCAGAGGCGGAGGCGUUGUCAUCAACUAAUGAUACCCUAGCAAAGAAAACACAGGGUGCGGUGAAUGAAUCCGGACAAGAAUCUGCUGACCAAGAGGUUCGAUCCACUGAUCUGCCUGCUGCCACUCUUUUCAAGUCCUCUGAUGCUUCUGUCCCACUUAAAUCCACAGAUAAUCAAGUUCAAGGAUCACCCAUCACUUUAGGUCCCAUUUUAUCCUUGCAUGUCCUUUUACUUUAUCAAAAUUCUUUUGCUUAUUUUCUUUCCUUCAUCGGUGUUUUGAACUUUUUUGCGAUGACUUUUUAGGUCAUUCUGUGAUUGAUGUGGAGAAAACCAAGUUAAAUGGGUCGUCACUGAAUAAGGUGAAAAAGCGGCAGCUGAAAUCGAAUGUUGGGGCUGCAUGGGGAAAACUUAUUUCCCAGUGCUCUCAAGUAGGUUUUAUUUUUAUUCUUUCCAUGUUAAUUUUUUAGUCUUAUUCACUGGGAAUAAUGUGAAAAUGACUAAAAAUUUAGAAAAUAUUUAACCUUUAGUCAAAAUUUGAUACCAAAGUUUGAUACCAAAGUGAACUCUGCUUGCACUGCCACAUUCACUCGUAAAAUAAUUUAAAUAAUAUGUGCAUACGAUACUGACCAAGGAAUGCUUGCACUGCCACAAUCACUCGUAACUUGAAGCAUUUAAUUUUGCAUCCAUUCUUGCCUUGCACUUGUGAAUCUGGAUUUCUCUCAAUUAAAAUAUGUGAUGUUUAGUGUUUAAUAAUGGGGUAUGUUAUGUUUGUUUUUUUAAAAAGAGAACAUGGAAAAUGAUAUCCAACAUCGGUAAUGGGAAUGCAAUUACUCAGUAUGUUAUGUUUGUUUUCUUAAAAAGAGAACAUGAAAAAUGAUAUCCAACAUCGGUUGCAUGUUACUGUAAAUACCAACCAAACUGAAAAUUCUUGUUCGUUCACCUCAGUCUCUCAUAUGUUUAUCAUUUAUUUGCCAAAAUAUCUCCUUACCAAGUUUCACAACUCUUUGUUACCAUAAUUUUAGACCAGAAUAACCCCUCAAUCAUGAUCUGUAGUGAAAAUGUACAGUACCCGGGGAAUACGUUCAUAGAUGUUUUGUAAGAACCGUAGUCUCCAAUCAUCUUGAGCAUGUCGAAUAAUUUCAGGGGUACUUGUUACCUUCUACCAACAUAAGUGUUGGAUAGCUUUGUCCACCGAGGCCAGAGAGGAAGAACUCACCUAGACCUCAUGGUUCUCAUUUCAUUGACCACUAGGUCACACUGGCGGUGCGUUUAUAGACGUCAUUCGUUGCAUCUGGUGAUGAAAUCCCGAGAAUUAGUCAACUCAGCCUGAACGAUACAACAUAUGCUAUGCUUAAUAACUCCUCAAAAAAGAAUACUGGAAUAAAGUUUUUAUAUAUAUAUAUAUAUAUAUAAUUGUAAAAUAAAUUAGAAGACAAUUUUGAAUUGAACUUAGUUGAGGUAGGCUAGUAAUUCACGUAGUUAAAUGCACAUAAAUUGGAUUAGGAGGUGUUUAGGGAGGGACCAAAUUUAAGAGUAGGAAUUUUAUUUGGAAUUGAGAGUGAAGCCCAGGAUGGAAUUUUGAGGUUGAGAGUUGAGAGACAGGGCCGAAGCCUAUAAAACGCUGAUUCAGCCGAACAUGUUGAGCCUCUGUGCCGCAUCACUCCCUCCCUACCUGCUCCUUCUAUAAAUUCAGCAUCCGGCGGAGCUUCAUAACUGAUAACUCGCAAUCAUUCACCUCUCUCUCUCUCUCUCUCUCUCUACGCAUCCAUAUAUCGAUCGGCUUUUACUUGUUUAUCUCUCCUCUCUCUCUCUCUCUCUCUUUGGAUCUGAACAUGGUCGAAACCAGAAGAAGCUCCUCGUCUUCCAAGCGCCCUCACUCUUCCCCAUCCUCUCCUCUCCCUAAUGGCAAGCGCUCCAAGG